AGUGAUCAUCCACUAGGACUCCAAGGCUAAAUAACCUCAAACUGAGUUAAAUUGAAAUUGAGAAUAAACUCAAGUCUGUUGAAGUCCACUCAUAAGAUCUCAAAAACAUGACAACUGGAGCGUUGGGAGAGGUGGUGAAGGCCUUUUCCUGCUUUGCUUGCUUCCCAAUUAUAGGAUGUACUUUUUUAUGAAUUGUGCUUGACCAGCAGCUCUCUCUGACUUUAGAAGAUCAUUAAUAUGCUUAUCUUUGGCCAAAACCUAUUAAUUACAUUGACUCUUGCUUCAUUGAAUUAAGGAAAAUAUAUUUACAAAUGCAAGGUAAAGUUAAGGAAAGCAUAUUACGGUUGCGCAUGAGGUAUGAUGGCUUCAUUGAACCAUGUUCAGCUUAGUUUAGAUUAAUUUCUGAUCAUGCACCUGCCAUCUUAACUUUUCCAGGACCACCACCAUGCAAAUGCCCUCCAUGGCUGCUCCUGAAGUCUUUAGAAGACUCCUUUCAUUCAAACCACAGUAGCUCAAUUAUUUUUAUGCCCAAUUCAUACUGCUUCAGGUGACAAAAAGUUAUGGUCUAGGACAAAUGGAGAAAGGAGAGCCUCUUUCCAUAUAUGUCUGAGAUUUUUAGGAAGAGCUUCUUCUGAACACCACUGCAUGCUGAAGUAGUACAGUAGCUUCUUUAGGAGGAGAGAACUUUUCAUUGAUCGUCUUGUGUUCCUUUUUCUCAGCUGUAAAACAUGCUCUAUAAGAAAUGUCUGCUAUCCCAAUUUUGUUAUCUUUGGGGUACUAGGCAAAUUCCCUUUUUAUCCUCUAAGACAGGGUUGCCAAACUCGCAUCAUCAUGGCAGUGUCACGUGAUGUAUCAGGACGUUUUUCCUCUUUGCUAAAUCAGGUGUGGCCAGCAUGUGACACAUCCGGCCUGUGGGCCACGAGCCCUGCUCUAAGACGUCAUCAUUGUUCUGAUGUAGCAUAUCUCCCUCAUAUAUUAGGAUUUUUCUGGUGGUGCUUGUUUUAAUCUCUGCUGAUUUUAAAUUGCUUUGUUAAUUGAUUUAUUAUUUCACUUUAUGCAUAGGGGAUGUGUUUGUGUUUCAUUAUGCAUUGCCCGUAAUGAUAUCCAGGAAUUUU